rnacentral:tRNA from 1 species
GUGUCCAUCGUCUAGCGGCCCAGGACUCCUCCCCUUCCGGGAGGCAACGCCGGUUCGAAUCCGGCUGGACACA